GACGAACGCUGGCGGCGUGCUUAACACAUGCAAGUCGAGCGGAGCGGCGAACGGGUGAGUAACGCGUGAGUAACUGCCCCCCUCUCUGGGAUAACAGUUGGAAACGGCUGCUAAUACCGGAUAGUGGGGGAUGACUUGCGUCUGAUUCGCUAGUUGGUGAGCUAAAGGCCCACCAAGGCAACGAUCAGUAGCCGGCUUGAGAGAGUGUACGGCCACAUUGGUCUGAGACACGGCCCAAACUCCUACGGGAGGCAGCAGUGGGGAAUUUUGCACAAUGGGGGAAACCCUGAUGCAGCAACGCGCGUGCGGGAUGACGGCCUUCGGGGUGUAAACCGCUUUCAGCCAUGACGCGGUAGUGGCAGAAGAAGCACCGGCUAACUACGUGCCAGCAGCCGCGGUAAUAC
rnacentral:rRNA from 1 species